AAUCAGCAGAUGAACAAUCUAUGCGAAUUUAACUCGAAGAAUCCAGUGAUGUUUUCCUGUUCCCUCAGAAUGAAAGUCACAAGGAGAUUCAAAUUCCUGGAGUGCUUGGGAGCCAAACCUCCAGAUCAGGUCCUCAAUGGUUUUUUGUGAUCCUGUUGCGGUUUGUAUAACUUCUGUAGAAAGCCUUGAAAAGGUAAAGAUAUCACAAAGCAUAUCACAACUAGAGGAUUGAUUGGACUCACUAUGAACAAGAAUCAGGACUUAUAAAAUUGAAAAGGUCACUGCAUUACUCUGUCGCAGUGAAAAAGGAAAAGCAAUGUGAGGAAUUAUUUAGGAGAGGAAGAACAAAACAGAAAACAUCAGCAAGCUACUCUAUAAUACUUUCAUGCACUGUGUCUUGAAAAUUGUGUGUAAUUCCAGUGCAAUGCUCUCAGAAGAUUGUAGUGGGAUUGAAAGUAGCACAGAGGAGAAUGACGGGGAUGAUCACAGAUUCGGGACAGACUGCACAAUGAAUGACUAACUAGACUUCUCUCUCUGAAUAGAGAGAGAGAGGAGUGUGGGAAAGCAGAGGUCUAUGAAAUUAUAUGUGGUAUAAAGAAGAUAAAGAGCAAAAGAAGGUACCUGGUGCCUGACACACCUUCAGAUCUCAGCAUCUGUAAUGCUGCAGGUCAGCUGUUUUCAGCUCUGCAACCUUUCACUUGAGUUGCCUGGGGUGCCAGAGCCCUGUCAGCAGAUCUUCCUUGCAUUCCUAUGCUUUUAUGACAGUGCUGAGGAUCUGCAUGGCCCUGCAGCUGCAGACCCUGGUGCUCAGUUUGAGAAGCAAACUGCCACUGGAUCCUUCCAUCUUGCCCAUGGUUAGAGGUGCUGAGGAAGACAUCAAAGACAGCAGGGUGCAAAGGAUUUGAUAUAGCCAUGAGUGAUCCGAGUCACCUGGAAAGUGCACAGUGUUUUGUGUUUGCACCAACCUUUAGGAAUACAAGGGCAAAGAAGACAUCAGGAUCUUGGCUUAUAUCCACGGAUUGGAAAAAUGUCCCAUGUAAUCCUAUUGACCUUCAACUAACAAAAUAUUCUGAUUUGUACACGACUUAUCAACUUAUUUCCUUGCCUUUGACCUUGGAAUCUCCAGAGAUUUUCACAACAACUUUUAAUUGUACACAACUGGGUUGACAAGACAGAAUUUGAUCUGACUGCUCUAUGCUAGAAGCCAGAUUUUCAUCUGCAUGAAGGCUAUUCCACAUCACAAAAGAUUAAAAAAAAAGAGAAGACCUUUAAGAAAGUGACUACACAUCUAUCACACUGAUACUCUCAAGCACGGUACCCUGGAAACUUAUUAUUUCUGAAAGAAGUUGGAGUAGAGAGCAUGAAUAUGGCCUGAGAAUUGAUCUUUAUACUAACGGAAUGUUUGAUGUGAUCAUAAACAAUACCUACA
rnacentral:lncRNA from 1 species